rnacentral:lncRNA from 1 species
UCUCUCUCUCUCUCUCAGAAAUUCGGCGAUCUCUUAUCCCCCCCUAGUCGCCGCCAACCUUUUGUCUCCUCUCCCUUCAUCUCACGUGGAGAAUGGGUUGGGAAGAUAUCCAUAGCUUGCAUCUUCCAUCUCUUGUUCAAUGACUCAAACCCAACCUACCAUCGGAUGCAUCCAACUGCCCAAGUCCACCUCGUCAUCAUAACUCCGGAUGGGCCUCAAGGCCCACAACUAAAUCCAAGUUCAAGUUAGAGUAACAACCUCCCUCUUGUACUUGAACCAUCCAAGGUCAUUCCUCAUGAUCAGAACCAUCCAACGGUCCAAAACUCUCCAACCUCAAAACUAAUAACUCAAAGACUUAACUCCUCUUCUAAUUGACUUAGUCAACUCGAUAACUAUCUCGAGCCUUGUAAGCCUUCCAACUGCCGACUUCUACAAAAUUUUGACCGAACUGAAACUCGAGGUGUCACACAAAUCAUCAAGUCGAAGAUUGGGAUGUCAACAAAGAACAUAUCAUCUUCUCAAAUUUUUCUUCUAUUCUCUAGUGAUUUAUUUACUAAAACCAUGAACGGUUGAACUCUGUGUUGUUUGGAUUAGAUGACACUUUAGUUUAAAUUUUGUAUAGAUGAUGGGUUUCUAAACCUGUGAAGCUGCUAUCGAUGUGAUUCAGGAUUAUCGUGUGUUCUUGCUAAACCUAAAUUUCAGAUUCAAUUUCGUUUGAUCAUCUUGAUUGAAUAUUUGUUAUCAAUUAAUGGGUCUAAAACACUACAAGAAAAUGAUCAUUUAGUCACGGUUUUAAUAAAUGAUAGUCAAAGUUAAAACUGUGACUAUCUGAUGUUUGUCAGAGUUAAAACCGUGACUAUCUGAUGUUGGUCAGGGAUUAAAAUCCGUGACUAUAUUGACCGAUGCAAAUUGAGUUAGUCACGGAUUUUGAUUGAAACCGUGACAAGCUUGAGUUGGCCACGGCACUCACAUUCCGUGAGGGUUUGGUCACGGAAUCUGGCACAACCGUGACAAGCAUUAUUUUUUAAAAUUGACGCCCCUUCGGCACCACAACGGCGGUGGAUCCAUCGACUAUUGUUGCUGCCUAUGUUCGAUAUCAGAUCUGGAGAAUGGAUCUUAAAAUAAAGAAUCAGCGUCUAACAGGAAACACAAAUCAACACAAAGAAAUCAACCAGUUGUGAUGUUCAUAUUCCAAAUCUAUACAAUUCAUUAAUCAGCACAAAAAAUCAAAGUCUAACAAGAAACACAGAUUAACCAAAAAUAACAUUCAAUAAUCGAUUCAGAGCUUUCUGAAUCACGAUCAUAAAAAACGCUUAGAUUCAGAGGUUGGUGAAGAACCACCUACAUCUUUAGCUGAUAAGGAUGGGGAAGAAGUUACGACCUUCUUGAUUCGUCUAUUAAAGAAAAGCAUCAGAGGGGAAUUGAUUAAGGAAAAGGGAAAGAGUUCAGGAAAAUAGGGAAAAGAGAGAUUGAGAGAAAAUUCAUCGGUGAUGGUGGUGGAUAUUGGAAAGAGGAAAAGAAAUAAUCUAGUGGGGAGAGAGUGUAAAUUAAACGAAAAAAAAGAGAAAGACAUUU